GAGGGUGUAGCUCAGUGGUAGAGCGCAUGCUCGGCAUGCACGAGGUCCUGGGUUCAUCCCCAGCACCUCCU
rnacentral:tRNA from 1 species